rnacentral:lncRNA from 1 species
CAGGCACCUUUAUUCAGCCAUAUUGAAGCCCCUCCCAUCCAUUAAUACUAUGCAAGAUGGAAAAUUCUUAAAUGUUUUAAAUGAAGGCUGAAGAGAACCAGUAAAGAAAGAUUUAAAGUAUGAAGGAGCAAUAAUAUGCCCCCACCAAUGUCUUUUCCUACUAAACUCAUCAAAACAAGUCACAGAGAAACAAUGGGCAAAAUGUAUUCACUUUUUAAAAAUCUUCACUUAAUACAUGGUUUUGUUGCAGUGUUCUUUUAUAUAGGAAGUCAAAUUUGUAACUUUUAAA